rnacentral:rRNA from 1 species
AUUGAACGCUGGCGGCAGGCCUAACACAUGCAAGUCGAGCGGAUGAAGGGAGCUUGCUCCUGGAUUCAGCGGCGGACGGGUGAGUAAUGCCUAGGAAUCUGCCUGGUAGUGGGGGAUAACGUCCGGAAACGGGCGCUAAUACCGCAUACGUCCUGAGGGAGAAAGUGGGGGAUCUUCGGACCUCACGCUAUCAGAUGAGCCUAGGUCGGAUUAGCUAGUUGGUGGGGUAAAGGCCUACCAAGGCGACGAUCCGUAACUGGUCUGAGAGGAUGAUCAGUCACACUGGAACUGAGACACGGUCCAGACUCCUAUGGGAGGCAGCAGCGGGGAAUAUUGGACAAUGGGCGAAAGCCUGAUCCAGCCAUGCCGCGUGUGUGAAGAAGGUCUUCGGAUUGUAAAGCACUUUAAGUUGGGAGGAAGGGCAGUAAGUUAAUACCUUGCUGUUUUGACGUUACCAACAGAAUAAGCACCGGCUAACUUCGUG